AGUGUGGCCAGGCAGCUCGGUCCGAGCAGGGCUUUCCUUGCCAGUGGAUUGUGGGGAGUGCAUAGCCAGUCUCUUGUCCUCUGUUCGACAUGGCAUCUUCUGAUGCUCAAGUGAAAGAGCUGGAGAAGUGUGCUUCGGCCAGGCUUUUGAGCUGAUUCUCAGCCCUUGGUCAAAAGAAUCUGUCCCUCACCCCCACCCCCACCCCCACCCCCACCCCACCCCAUCCCACCCCCCAAAGAAGAAGGAUCUUCCCCUGGAGGGAAUCCAGAAGAAAUUAGAAGCUGCAGAAGAUGCAAGUCUCACGAAGCGGAAGUCUUGAAGCAGCUUGCUGAGAAGCGGGAGCAUGAAAAAGAAGUGCUAUAGAAAGCCAUUGAGGAGAACAACAACUUCAGCAAAGUGACGGGGAGAAAGGACACACAAAAUGGAGACUAACAAAGAAAGCCGGGGAUGGGGUGGCUGCUGAGCUGGGGCAUUUGCGAGAGAAGGACAAGCGCGGUGAGGAGGUGCGGAAGAACAAAGAAUCCAAAGACCCCGUGGACAAGACCAAGGCUACCUUGUUCCAAGAGCUGACUUUCUCCCCGACCCCUUCCUAAAUACAUAUCCAGAGACUGUACUGGCCAGUGCCAUUUACUUUCCCUCCUGACAGAUAGUCUAGAAGCCGACCUAUAGGUAGAUCCAGACCGUGAGAUGUUUUAGGGGCUCAAGGGGAGAAACUGGAAGUGUUUUACUCUUUUUUAAAGUGUUGGUCUUUGUAACGUAGCUAUUUUUCUCGUUGCAUCUUUUCCACUCGGGCACAUUCGGUAUGGUGGGUUAAUGGCUAGUACUAUAUUGACUGUGAAAGACGUUUGUGAAGAGUAUGUAGUGGCUUCUUCUAACCCAUUAGAUGUUGAAUAUCUGUUCACUUUGCAAUCCCAAUUCUGUCCCAAUCUCACCAGAUGCUACAGUACUUCAGUGGCUAAUAAACUGCAUAGUGCUGUGG